AAAGGAAUUGACGGGGGCCCGCACAAGCGGUGGAGUAUGUGGUUUAAUUCGAGGCAACGCGAAGAACCUUACCAGGUCUUGACAUGGAGCUAAAGGCCCUAGAGAUAGGGAGAUAGUUAUAGCUCACACAGGUGGUGCAUGGUUGUCGUCAGCUCGUGUCGUGAGAUGUUGGGUUAAGUCCCGCAACGAGCGCAACCCUUGUCGUUAGUUACCAUCAUUUAGUUGGGGACUCUAGCGAGACUGCCGGUGACAAACCGGAGGAAGGUGGGGAUGACGUCAAAUCAUCAUGCCCCUUAUGACCUGGGCUACACACGUACUACAAUGGCGAGUACAACGGGAAGCGAUGUGGUGACACAAAGCGGAUCUCUUAAAACUCGUCUCAGUUCGGAUCGAAGUCUGCAACUCGACUUCGUGAAGUCGGAAUCGCUAGUAAUCGCGGAUCAGCAUGCCGCGGUGAAUACGUUCUCGGGCCUUGCACACACCGCCCGU
rnacentral:rRNA from 1 species